rnacentral:rRNA from 1 species
UGAGGAAUAUUGGGCAAUGCCCGCAAGGGUGACCCAGCAACGCCGCGUGGAGGAUGAAUGUCGUAAGAUUGUAAACUCCUGUUAGAGGGGAAGAAUAGUACCGGUUGGACCGGUAUAUGACUGUACCCUCAGAGAAAGCCCCGGCUAACUACGUGCCAGCAGCCGCGGUAAUACGUAGGGGGCAAGCGUUGUCCGGAUUUACUGGGUGUAAAGGGCGCGCAGGCGGAAUGGAAAGUCAGUGGUGAAAUCCUACAGCUUAACUGUAGAACUGCCUUUGAUACUUUCAUUCCUGAGUUGGGGAGAGAGAGACGGAAUUCCAGGUGUAGUGGUGAAAUACGUAGAUAUCUGGAAGAACACCAGUUGCGAAGGCGGUCUCUUGGUCCGAUACUGACGCUGAGGCGCGAAAGCGUGGGGAGCAAAC